UCCAUUUUCAAUAACAAACAAAAAAAUAUUAAUUAUCCCUUUCAAUGCUCUCUCUUUCUCUCUCUCUCUCUAUGUAAAUGUGUAUGUGUAGGUGAGGAGAUGUAACAGCCUUCCGAGGAUGUAUUAACUAGUGUGUAAUGGAUGAAGAGGNCUCUAUGUAAAUGUGUAUGUGUAGGUGAGGAGAUGUAACAGCCUUCCGAGGAUGUAUUAACUAGUGUGUAAUGGAUGAAGAGGCCGCCCUUUCACCCUAUUUUUCUCCCACUUUUCAGUUACAAAACCGCCCUUUGCUUUUAUAUACACAUACAAUAGAUACAUAUUUGUCUGUAUAUGUAUUGGAUGUACAAUUAUAUACACAU
rnacentral:lncRNA from 1 species